rnacentral:snRNA from 1 species
AUCUUUGCGCUUGGGGCAAUGACGCAGCUAAUGAGGUACUAACCGAGGCGCGUCUAUUGCUGGUUGAAAACUAUUUCCAAACCCCCUCUUAGGCUUGGGGUUUCCUAAGCCUUUGAGAAUUUCUGGAAGGGCUCCGUUUUUUGGGUAAAGCC